rnacentral:sRNA from 1 species
CCCAAAUGUGCUUUCUCUUUUCCAGAAAUGCAUCCUUGAUUUUCCAAUGACCAUAGACACAUGACUUUGUAGGGAGAUGACUCAGACACAUGAUGGCCCACAACCAUGUAUAGGUCACUUCCAGGGGACUCAAUAUCCUUUUCAGGUCUCCUCUAGCAUCAGGUACACAUGUAUGAGGUACUUCUAUAAAUAUGUUGGCAAGCACUCAUACAUAUAAUAUGAGAAAAAUACAUUAAACAUACCAUUAUAUACAAUAAUCCCACUUUCAUUCAACUCUCUGUGUGAUAACAUUGAAACUUUAACUCAAAGGUAGAAAUCAGCUCUGAGAUUACCACUAUUCAGUAGUAGAAGCACAUCACUGUGGUUCUCAUAUCAUUUAACUCUGGUAGUUAUAGGGCGUUAGCAGAUUCUAUUCCUAGUAUUUCUGGUAAAGAUUUUGCAGCACUUUCUAUUCCAACUGUCUUGGCUUAUGAGGUUUUUUUAUUACAUCCAUUAGGUGUUUGCCAAACUACUGUGAACAUGGAGGACACUGCGCCCAAACCUGGACUACCUUCUACUGCAACUGUAGUGACACUGGUUACACAGGAGCCACCUGCCAUGACUCCAUCUAUGAACAAUCAUGUGAGGUGUAUAGACACAAAGGACACACAGCUGGGUUCUUCUAUGUUGACUCUGAUGGCAGUGGGCCACUGGGACCCCUUCAGGUGUACUGCAAUAUUACCGAGGACAAGAUCUGGAUGACGGUUCAGCACAACAACACAGAGCUGACUCGUGUACAGGGUUCCAGCCCUGAGAAGCCCUAUUCCAUGACCUUAAACUACGGUGGCAGUAUGGAGCAGCUGGAAGCUCUGAUUGAUGGCUCUGAAUACUGUGAACAGGAGUUGAAAUACCACUGUAGGAGAUCCCGCCUUCUUAACACACUAGGUAAGGUCCUUUCUUUCUUCAUGGAGUAUUGAAACCUAUGACCCAAUGCACUGGCUUUACUUUUUUCUGGCAGUAGCUAGAAUCAGUGUAGAAGUGGGUACCUCAUUUCAAAAGAUAUGUCUACAAAUGACUGUUGUGGGAGGCCCAGUCAAUUAUAUGUAAUAUUACUACUGGGCAGGUA